GUUUUUACACGUUCAGGUAUUUUACACGGUGGGAGAGAGGAAUGAAAAACAUGAAGUAGAAAACAAAAGUGAUGCAUGAAGCUCAAAGAACAUCGGCACAUUAUCCCAGUUAGUGGCUAUCUGUACUGCCCCUUCAAGACCUUCACUACAGAUUAAAUUGCUAGUUCUUAUUCCGUUCUUCCUAGUUUUGAAUCUGUGUGGUCACAUUUUUGCACCAUGUCCCUUUGAAAUUCAAAGUACACUUUGUUGAUCAUUGUGCCCCAGUUCUAAAAAAGCAGCGUAAGCUCCAACACCUUUGAAGUGAAAACUCUUUGUUAGAGUAAAUAAUAAUCCUUUCUAGAUGUCAGGUGCAAGAUACGUAGUCAAUAAGCAGUUGUUCUUUAAUUCCCUUUCUUCUAUACAGCUUGCAUUCAUUUUUAAUUCACUAAGCAUUACAUAAUUCACGGAUUCAUUCAUCGCCUUUCUCUGCACUCUUUGUGAGGAGGAUUGCUCUUUCUCGUUUUUAAUUAAUUAUUUUUUUUUUUAUUUUUAAUACACAUUCAGGUAUUUUACACACAGCUGGCGGGAGGGAGGGGUGAAAACAUGAAGUAGAAAACAAAAGGGAUGCAUGAAGCUCAAAGAACAUAGUACAUUAUCCCAGUUAGUGGCUAUCCGUACUGUCGAACCAUUGUAUGCUGCCCUCCGAGUCCUUCACUACAGAUUAAAUUGCUAGUUAUUAUUCCAUUCUUCCUAGUUUUGACUCUGUGGGGUCACAUUUUUGUCAGCAUUUAACAAAAACACGUUACAAACAUUCGGUGUAAUUCAUUAUGUAAUACAAAUUUGUAUGAUAGCGGAAAAGAGACGUGAAACUGCAUACAAUAAAAUCAUGUAAAUGUGUAGUGUUACUUGUCUACUGAAAAUCAC
rnacentral:lncRNA from 1 species